CAUAAUCUCUGAGGAGAAAAGCAGGGGAUCGCAAGACCUUGCGCUUUURGAGCGGCCGAUGUCUGAUUAGCUUGUUGGUAAGGUAAAAGCUUACCAAGGCUUCGAUCAGUAGCUGGUCUGAGAGGACGACCAGCCACACUGGGACUGAGACACGGCCCAGACUCCUACGGGAGGCAGCAGUGGGGAACUUUGGACAAUGGGGGCAACCCUGAUCCAGCCAUGCCGCGUGAGUGAAGAAGGCCUUCGGGUUGUAAAGCUCUUUCAGCCGGAACGAAACGGUUACGGUUAAUACCCGUGACUAAUGACGGUACCGGAAGAAGAAG
rnacentral:rRNA from 1 species